GAAGCGCGAGCCGCCCCAGCCCGGGCCUGGUCGGCUGGGGUGACCCUGGCUUAGUCACAUAAAGUCUCACCGCCUCAGUUUCCUCAGCUAUAAAAUGACGGGCCUCACCGCUCGGCUCUCAUUCUUAGGAGCUGCCUAGUAAGCCAGUCCGGUGUCCGGAAGGCCUGGCGUCCGGCCCUGCCCCCUGCCAGCCUCUGGCCCCAGACUUCCAGGCUGGCUGCGCAGCCCUGUGUGGCAGCCUUCCCCCAACUCUCCCCUCCCUGGCCACUCUCAAGGACCCCGUGGGGCCGCCAGAUGCUGCUGAUCUGCAUCGGGAGAGGAGAUGCGCUCAGUGCCUGUGUUGAUUGUUCUCUGCAAGAUUUUGUAGAAAUGGGAAAGGCCCUGAGGACUGUUGAUGCCUAGAACAUGGAACAACCUUGUGUAUGCUUUAGUCCAUUUGUUCUUCCUAGUUUGGUUUUCUUUGGUGACAUUUCUAUAUCCUCAUUGAAGAUUGUCAUGUCAGAGUACAACUGUGGUAGCU